GUGGUUGGGGGCAGGGCAGGGAGGAAGAUUGUCCUUUUGCUGUGAAUUAUACGAGAACCGUGGAUACUCUUCCUGGUAUUACAAGCACAAACUUGCCAUCUAACAAGGCAGAAAAGCAAACCCUUCUGCGCACCUCCCUUCCAAUGGCAUGUUUUCCAGCUUUGCUGGGCUGCAAGGAGCCAAUCUGAGUGAAAGCCUAUUUCCUCUGUGUGUUCCCUCUCUUGAUCAGGAUAUCAGCCAGUCAUCUAAAAGAGCUCAUGUUUCUCACUGUGCUUCUCCAGAUCAGCCUUGUGCCUUCUAUGUCAAUCUGCCUCAGCUGAGCCGACCCAUGCCAACACUGUACAGAAUCUUUUUGGUGUCACCAGGCAAUCUGAAGCAACAGUGAAGCUCUGUUCCUCAUCUGCCAGCCAGUUUCUAAUCCAGGCCUUGCUAUUUUUAUACAGUCAGGAUUUCUCCACUCCCUUAAUAAAUAUUAUUAUGUGGCACUCUAUCAAAUAUCUGACCAAAGGAAGAGCAGUUUAAAAUAAUUUCUGGCCAUACUGGCACAGAAGACAGUCGACUAAUCAAAUUUCAUCUUGUUCACUGGGCUGACUUGAACAGCAAAUCUCCUCUCAGAUAAAAGUUCUGGGCAUCAGGAUUCUGCCAGCAUUUCCACCAAACUAGCGCUCUCUUUCCCUUCUCUCUAACAGCAGUUGCACUGAUGAUAUAGAAGGGAAGAGUUCUGCAAAGUCCAGACGUGACCACCAUCUUACCCACUCAUGUCACAAAGAAAGGAUUUCCUUCAGUGGCCCAAAAGAACAGGAACAUUCCCCACUGCCAUGUUCUCUUGGCCCUGGCCCCAGUGUGUGCUCUGUGUUCUGAUGAAGACCUGAGUGACCAGGAGACAUUCCUGAGGCUUCAUCUAAGCUGAGUUAAAGCACACAGGCAAAAUGCAAUAAUAUAAUAAUGAGAAAGUUGCCUCAAAUAUGUCAUUUGUAACAUCAGCUGAAUUGUAAUUUAGAGCUGUGCUCCCUCCCACUCAGCCUGGCUACCUUGAAUGGACAAAGGCCAACAUUUGCAGAGUACUCUAGUAUGGUAGAAACUGUCUCUCAGGAAAUGGAGCCCUUCACAAUAUCUUUGGUAGGAUUCCCAAAAUCACCUUCAGACCUUCAGCAUAUGUAAACCCUGGAGUGGUUCCCCAUGUGCUCUGUUCAGGGCUAAGAUGAUGGAUCACUCUCGUGUUCAAACAGGCUAAUAGAUUGCUUUCAGACAUCGUUUUGGGUUCAACUGCCCAUCUUGGAUAGCUUGUACCAAAACUAGCCCUGGCUUGUAAUUUCUCUGCUGAGGAAAAUUGGACUGGCCUUUCACAAGGAGGCAGGCUGAGCUUCAGCUGUGCCUCUUUCCCCCUUCCAGGUGUGGGGAAUGAGGUGCUGGGAGAUGAAGGGCAGCUGAGCAGUGAGGCUUUGCUAUAAAAUGGACCUGCUGGGUUAGGAGCCUCCAAAAGGUCUUCUGGGAGCUGAGCUGGGCAUGAGAAUAUAGAGGUUACUGCUAUGAUGCAUAGGGGAACAAUAGGCUUACAGCAAGACUCUGAGUGCAUAUCUAGAGAUUUAACCUCAGAUCUUUGAUUGUGGUUAAAGCUUUGAUUGUUGAAAGCUAGUAAGACAGCUGCUAGAGAGAAGAGGAAGUAGAUGUAUUUGGAAACUACCUUUUAUGAUUGGUACCACGUAAGGGAAGGGGAGCAUAGCAAUGCCCAGUUCUCAGGAAAGAAAACAAUUAUUCUGAGCAGAGAGUUACCUUCUGUAAUUCUCCCUAGUUCCCAGCUGUUUUCUGCUUUGGAGGGACUGCAGGAGAAGCUCUUAAGGCAAGUAAGAUUAGGAACCAGAAGCAAUUCUGAAAGUCUAGUGCCUGAAGGUAUUUCUGAAGUUCUAGAAAAUUCUGCAUUUGGGGGAAGAAGUGACUUUGCAUCCCUGGUCUUAUUUACAGUGAGGGUUUCUGGAAUUCUCUCUUUUAAUGUCAAUAUGGUAAUUUGACCUACUAUAUCAUAGAUUGGCCUGAGUUGAGAAGGACUACAGUGAUCAUCUGUUUUCAACCCCCCUGCUAUGUGCAGGGUCACCAAUUACUAGACCAGGCUGCCCAGAGUCAGUAUGUCAUACUUCUGUUUAUUGCUGGGAUACCAUUAGUCUUUAAGCAUGUGAGUUGAUUCUGGGGAUGUAGCUCCUAUCAGAAAUGCUUUUGAGUCCUCUCCCAGAUGUAUAUGUGAACUUUGUUUCUAGGGUCUUUUGAGCAAUUUAAUGGUGGGUCUGUAGGCUCUACACCAGAGCAGCUCUGAUGUGGGGUGUCUGGCUAAACCAGGAUAAUUCUCAGUUGGUGACCUCACAGAUCUCAGGUUGGAGGGCAGAGCUUCAGCAGUGUUAUCUGAGGAGCUGGAGGAUAGGCCCUCUCUGUGAUGAGGUUUGUCCUUGAGCUGCUAUCUUGGUUAGGUGAUUUUAGUCUUAGGGAUAUUUGUCUGCUGGCAGUGCCUGACCAGUUCAUUUAACUUAGGUAACCCCUGUGCUUCUGUCAUAGCAGAGUGUGGCUUAUGCAUCAAUCAGCUGGUUUCCCUGUUGAUUGGUAUCAUUCUUAUCACCCAUGAAGUUUACUGUUCUUUGGCUUCUGUGGUCAGCGAGAGAUUCAGCAACUCUCUGGCCCCAGUGUUUGCAGACAAACAGAAAAGCUGGCACUUGUGUUAGUGUGACCAUGUCCCUGUGGUGGUUGGCAGGCUGUCCUGUUUGAGGUAGUUACAGAUGUUUGAUCUUCAAACAGUGUCCAUAGGGAAUCUUACUACAUUUGAACAGCUCUCAUCUCCUUUGAUAUCUGAAGAGCAGAUAUCACAGCUGAAAGGUUUCCAGUAGCUAUAUUUUCCCUGCUGUUUCAUCACUGAGCAAACAAAGUAAUGGCAAACUUUUAUAUUGCUUAAUUUAAGUAUUCUGAUCUGAAGUUGAUCUAUUUUUUUUCCAUCUGCAAAAUGUUCUUAUGUAAAAGCAGAGAAUCAAGUUGACCUUUGGAUACUUUGGAAACAACCAAUUCCCCAAAACUCUGGGGAUCUAGGCAGGUCCAAUUACUCCUUUAGUAUGUACAGCAUAAACUGCUGUAUAGGUAUAUAGCAAAAGGCUCGUGAAGAUGGGGAUUGUUCCUUUUGAUUAAGGAACAAGAAGGAAUGGCCCAAGGUUAACCUAUAGGUCACUUGUAGAGUGUGAAUGAGCAUCCAGACUCCCUGAGUCCCAGUCCAGUACGUGUUUCAUGCAUCAGGUGGGGAGAAAAAGCAAACAAACACAAAGUGCUCUGAUCCUUGAUGAGAAUGAGGGAGGCCAGGGGAAGCAGUGGAAGAGCUGGUAUGUUCACUUUGUAGCAUGUGGGGCCACACCAGAGACACUUCUCUGGGGCGAGGGAGUGCGAGUCCCUGGAGUUUAACUUGAGUAGGUGUUGUGUUACUUGAUUACUUGAUAUGCAUUCCUUCAUCCGCUCUAUCUGCACUGUAAUUAAUUUAGUUGCUAAACUGAUGGGAUUUAAUCCUGAGGUUCUUGCUGCUUCUCUCUAGUAACUCUGGUAAAGCAGCCACAGAGAUCUCCCACUUGAUUAUCUGUAGCUUUCUAAAUGCUACCCUUCCAGACAAAGGUGGCAUCUGCUUGGGUUCCCAGCUGCUGGCAGAGCAGUUUGAAAGCCUCAGAGAGCACAGGAAGCAAAGAAAGCAGGCCAUCAUAAAAUCAUUAAGGCUGGUAAAGACCUCUGAGAUCACCUGGUCUAACCACCAGCCCAUGCUCACUAGCCAUGUCCCUCAGUGCCACAUCUCCACAUUUUUUUACCGCUUCCAGGGAUGGUGACUCCACCAUCUCCCUGGACAGCCUCCUUGCUUGCUGGUGCAUUUGGGGGGCAGAUGGCAAAGCACACUGCUUUCUGAAGUAGGAAGGUUUCUGCUAGGUUUCUGAAGGUUUCCCCAGGCGAUGCAUGGAGAAUUGAUAACAAUUUGGCACUGGUAGAAAGGAUCUGGAAAGAAGUUCCUUUAGCCUUACAGCUGCUGACGUCCUGCAGACUUUCCUUGAAGUCUGAGGUACAGGUGGAAGUGUCAAAGGUAAGCAAAAUUGUAGGGACUGUCUCAGCACAAUUGACAUCACCUGUGUUUCACUCAGAUGAAAGGGAUAAGAGGGGAAAAAAGCAAAACAAGCUUUGAGAACUUUGAGUAAAAAUUCAUGACUAAUACCUUUAAAGCUGAGCUAGCUCACUUUGCCCUUUAUCUUCAAUCACACCCAGUUUGGUUUAUUUUAUUUGGGCACUAAAUGAAUCUAGUGGCUGCAGGCGAUGGAUGGGCUCAUGAGGUCCCACUGGCUGAGGGUCUUCUCCUGCUCCCUGGUGAGGUGCUGGGCACAGAAGUGAAGUGCUUUGUGGUCUGCCUGAGGUGGGAGCUGGAAGCCAGCUGCUGACUGCAGGCAUCUGCUGAUUGCAGCUCAUUGGGCUGCCAGCAUCAGCUGAUUGAGCUGAGAGUGCUCUCACAGCCAGGACUUAAACAGUGAUGACAGUGAAGAAGGGAAAAACAGCAGAAAAGCGUGCUGUGUCUUAAUAAAUUAUGAUGUUGCUCACAUCAGUGUGCUGGGGCUGAAGGCGUUAGCAGAGAUAGCAGGAAACACAUCUGCUGAAGCAGGAAGUUGUGCUUGAGUGCUUCUUCAGUGAGCUGGAACUUGGAAGCCAACCCCAGUGUGCACGCUUGGAAGCAGGAGGUCGUCCUGAAACACCAGUGGCUUCCAGGCAAGUGUUUAGAAAUUCCUUCAAAGGACACUUUGCUUCACCAGGCGCGUAUGUAACCCCAUAGUCUUCACUUACAUGCAGCAGCUGGUGCCCUUGUGGGUGUGAUCUGAGUUAUACAACCUGCUGAAGAUGCUAAUGUGUGCUGGCAGCCUUGUUCAACAUCAGGCUUUGGAGUCUAUCAGUUCUUGUAAACUCACCAGGAUUACCAGUCUCCAAAGCUUAUUGCUCUUUGGAAAGCUUUCACUUACUAUCUUCUUAGGAUGUAUCUUUCUUGUCUUUGCCCAGUCAUGUUUCCUGACAACCAUUUCUCCAUUCAAAUCUAGAUAGAACUUAAAUGCAGACUUGCACAAAGCGGUUUUUAUGACUCCGGGAGGCAUUUCUUUAUUAGGGUGGCGAAAAGCAAACUUACUUAGCAGGAUGAUCGAUUAGGGGAACAUGCAACCCACAUGAAAUGAACUGUUGGUACCUGGAAAUGCCCCAUGCCUUUAAGCUGAAAUGAGCAGCAUCAUUACCCUGAACGAGCAAAGCAUGUGCCUACAGACACAACAAUGCAUCACAAUCAGCUCUUUCAGCACAGACUUGUUACCAAGAUGUAUGCCCUUGGCAGAGCAUGUGAUCCUGUGGCAUGAGGUGUACUUGAGCAAUUUAGGAAUAAGGUUGAUCUCUGAGCAGAUGGAUCAGUCCUUGGGCAUGCCAGCGCUAUCAUUUUUAUAUGGAUAUGAACACAAGUUCAGACGGACCACCAUGCUAUGUACAGAGAACAACAGGGAAGGGAAAACCUGGAAAGAUUAGUUCGCUCUGAACUCUCAUCUGAAGUGUGACCUGGUGGAGUCACUGUCCCUGGAGGUGUUUGAGGAAAGGGCAUGUGGCACUGAAGGACGUGGUUAGUGGGUACAGUGGCGAUGGAUUGAAGGUGGUACUAGGUGAUUUAGUGUUUUUUUCCAACCUUAAUGGUUCUGUGAUUCUAUUCUAUGACCACUUCUGGUUUCUGAUUUUUUUUAACGAUAUCCAUAGAUUUCUGUCUCAUGUCGGCAUUUGUUAUCGAGUCAUUCCCUCUGAUGCUAUGGAGUUGCAGAGCUGUUUACAGGUGGUCCAGCUGACCCUUAUAUGAAGCAAUGACCUUUUCUGCACUGUAACAUACUGGUGCUGAACCUGGAUGUGUGAGUUCCUCGCAGACUCUGACUACAUGGCAUCCAGCAGCUAGCAAAUUGCAUACCUGCUCUACGUGGGAACCCAGCAGAGCAGGAUGGCUCAGGCCCUCAACAGAGAGCUUCCUGGGAUCUCAGCCAUAUGGCAUACUGCACUGGUUACUAGUGAAGAGGUUCACCUGGGGCUUUCCUACACAUGUGGUUAACAAGACAGUCUACUUCUUCAGCAGGUUUCAAUUAGUGUGGCUGCUUUGUAGGCAGCACUGGCUCAGUCUGGCAGCUUUGCCAAUGGUCUCAGUUGGCUUCUCUUAUUUUUGCCUGCAUAUCUUCUGCUGCUGAUGGAGGAAACAUCUUUCCUGGCUGCACAGCAAGGGGUUCUGGAGACACCUGAGCUGCAGGUAGUGUACAGCUGGCACAUUUGAAUGUAAUGCCAGUCAGUGAGCUGGGAGAGAAGACUGCUAUCAUCUUGGGUGUCCACAGGGGAGGAAAGGGUGAGUGCUCUGAAACUCUUCCUUUUCCACUGCAUCUUUUCCCCUCCACAGAGCCUGAGAUUCCAAGAGCCUCGUGUCCUAUGCAAAGGGGCUGGGGAUGAGGGUAAAGGGCUGCUGAAGUGGGGAAGUCCACGGACUACUAAAGAGUCUUCUGCCCUCCCUGCCAAGAGCCAUGUCCUGCUGCAGUGGGACUCAAGCAGCCACGAGGAGAGGAGGAACUGAAGGUCUGAUCUGGGUACUCUGACUCAUUGCUCAGCUGAGCAGGAAGCUGGUAUGACCAGGAAAACAGCAGGAGAUGGGUUUUUGAGAAGGAACUGGAAAAGAGAAACCUCUGUGCUUCUUUCAGGUAUGUGGUGGGGAGAAGGAAUGGUUCUAGACCUGUUUUAUUGUGGUGAAGAUUGAGAGGGUUGUGCUGCCAUGCUUGGUGCUCACUGUGUAGGUAGCUGUCGUGGUGGUGGAGGGGAGGUCAGUGUGUGGGGUGAUGCUUCUUGCUCUUCUUCAUGCUGCUGGUAUUUUGUGAGAGGUUCCAAAAGCAUUCAUAAAUCCCAGAGUCAGAAAUUAAAACUGGGUGGUGGUUUGUGGUUCAUAUGACAAAAGGACUAGCAUAACAUAAACUAGGAGGGAGGCAUGUAAAGGUGACAGUGAGCCACUGGCUGUGGGUUUAAGUGCUGAAAUAAGCGAUGCUGGUUGUUUCACAAAACCAGGUUCCUCAUCCAGUUAUUACAGAGCUGACAUUUGGGAAAUAAGACACACAUUGAGCCUUUGCGGACAGACCCUGCUUUGCAUGAGCUUUGCUGAGAUUUGCAUUGCCAGGCAUCUCACUUCUGCUUGUCACUGUGAUUGACUCGUUGGCAGUUGCAUUGUGCCACUUACUGCCUGUCACGUUAACUGGAAUUAGCUGCCACCCCCUCUCCCAAUGGCUCAAUCACAGCUCUCCAGCAGCUCAGUUCCUUCUUGCCCUCUGCUGCCAGCCUACUCUGCAAUCACUCUUGCAGUAAGAAUGGCUUUGCACUGGCAUCCCCAUCUACCCCCAAAAAGAGCUGCCUAGCCCUGUCCUCUCAGGCAUGGAAAAACUAUUUCAAACACAGGAGCAAAGAGGAAGAUUUUCAGCAGCCGUAAAGCUUUGCUUUUCCUGGGAGGUGCUCUGUUGAUGCCAGCUGCCAGGGCAUCUCAGUGAAUUUCACUGAUGAUGGGGGAAUUAUAUUUAAACUAAUAGGGCAAAGGGAUUAUCUUUAACAGAAUGAAUGAGUACUGCCCUCCUUUUUGCUGCACUAAGGCCCCUCAUGAUCGCAGACAGCUCCUUUCCCCUCAGUAGCCCUUGUACAAUGGGGAACUGAUCGCAUUUAACCAGCCUAUGUGCUCCAAAGUGGGGUCUGCAUGAGAGAUACAAUGCCUAAUCCCAGACCAGUAAAUAUAUACUGUUUGAUGUGUUUUGAGCAGUCUUUUGCACAUGAACAAGGCAAUGAACAGCAAGAGCAUCUGUAAUUAUGUGUGCUACAGCCCUUUGUGCUGAGCUGGUGCCACGAGGCCAAGCAGCUGAUCUGCCUCCCACAGACCAGAGAGGGUCAGAGGCCACUGUUGCUGACACCGUAUGCUGUGCCCAGGCAAACAUUUGGGUUAGAAAUGUCUGUACUUGCUGGCCAUGUGGAAUGGAGAUGCAUCGCUGUUGUGCAACUGAAGGGCAAAGAGACAGCACGCAGCACUCAUGCAACUUGGGAUGUGCCUGCAGCAUGGCUCAGCACUGUGCUGCUGGGCUGUCAGGGGGCAGAGCUGACAACACGGGCAGCUCAACCCCAAGUGGAGCAGGUGGGACAGAAGUUCCCCACCACAGUCACGGAUGUGCCUAACCAAACCCUACUUCCCUGUGCCAGACACUGAAUGUCAAGUCUGUCUUCCAGAGAUCACAGAAGAAAAUCUGAGAAGCAGGAAAGCAUCACCUGUGCCAGCUGCAGGAGGAUUAGGAGACCUGCCCGGUGUGUGUGAGAAGCCAAUAGCAGAGUGAGAAGUAAAUGCAUGAUGAGUGACUCAGGCUCUGGGCUGGCCCAGCCCAAGGGGUGUGAGCCUGCAUCACCUCCUGAGCAGCUCCAUCCCACCCAGGGGAUCUUUCUUGCCAUCGUCCCAUCAGGACUGAUGUGCUGCCAGAAACCAAAAAUAGCAUCCUGAA